rnacentral:lncRNA from 1 species
GCUAAGGUGGGUGUCAUGAGGUGUGAUAGAGGCUAAAAGGGUGUAUGGGUUGCCCAAUAAGUGGUUCACGCGAUGGCAUGAUGGAAACUCAUAUGUCGAAGGUGUCAAGCCCUGAAGUGUGUAGGUCUUCCUGUCAACCGAGAAUACCAUGGUUUUUUGCUUGAAAUGCCAUCCAAUGAAUCCCAACGAUUCCAACCAUUAGGUGCCCAAAAUAAUAUCAUAAUCUGGCAUAUCUAAUAAGAGGAAAGACCCAUAUAGUGUGUAAUCUUGUAUGUGAAAUGGCACACCCGUGACACGUUUAGAGGCAUAACGGUCCUGCAAUGCCGUUGUGAAUUUGAUAAGCUCAAUAGGUUGCAUUGGUAGGUCUUCAAGGUUUACACAAAGCUAUGGAUCGCCAGACACUCCUCCCCCCGUUCUCUCAUGCAUCUCCAGCUCUGUCUCUUUCACUCUUAAGGUACCUGCCGAUGUUGUCGAUCGGCAGGUAAAGCUUCAGUUUCUAUAUUAACGUUCCAUUUUUUUUUCAUUUCUAGAAUUUGGGUUUAAAUUUCAGUAAUUUAUUUUUAUUAAAUUUGGUUGUGUGGCUAAUAAUUUUUGUUCUUAAUUUUACUAAGAUUUUGAGUUCCUUUUUUUCUUUACAAAUUUCAAUUAAAUUGCCUACAGUUGAAUUAUUUUAAAAUUCCCUGUAUAUUUAUUCUUUGUUUCCAAUAGCAGGUAAUCACAUAGUGUAUUUUCUGAAAUCUCUAAUUAAUUUUUGCAUAUUCUUCUUUUCUGGUGAGAAGGUUACGAAUAAGCUCCCACCCAAACUUGAGAGUGACCCAACCUGUUUGCUCUGUUUUUGGAUUAUGUUUUUAAAUUUUAUAUUUUUUUGCAGCUGCUUGAAAGAGGUUGUAUGCAAAUUUCUCUUCUGGGAGUUAUGUAGGAGUUGGGGAGGAAGAACAUAGUCUUCAGGCUAG